CCCGGUGUCAAUGGUGCAGUAAAGCCUCUAUUUCCGAGAUUAAAAAGUAUGCUUAUGCAGACAGUCCUGGCUGACAUCUACAUAAAUCUUCUCGGUUGCGUUCUGCUGCUCAGGCUUCCCUCAGCACCCCCGCUCUUCCUGGAAGUGCACCACAACCAGGAUGUGGAGCUGCUGCGUCCAGAUGUGAGAGAGCACAGGUCCCAGGAAGCCUCUGGAAGCUUCAGCUUGGCUGGCACUGCGUGAGAAAACACCUGCUUCCUGCAUUAUUAAAGGACCCUCAGGAUGCCGCUGGUGAACCGCGGGAGCGAUGCUGCUCCUGGCUGUCCAGCAAGGAGAGCUAAGAAGCGGGGUUCUGCGUGAAUUAAAAAUGCAUUAAAGCUCUCAAAGGACAUCAAAGGCAAUUUCAGUUCCUGAGAACAAAGUGCAUGUCUCAGAGCUGCGUCGCAAUUCCCAGCAUUAUGGGUGCCCCCUCCAGCUCCUUCUCUAUCGUUCACCUCCUGUGCGUGGUCUGUGCCGUGACACUCACCAUCGCUUUAAUUACAAGCCCAUAAUGCACAAAUGUAGUUGGGAGGAAAGGGGACACAGGCCCCUUGGAGGGUAAUUAUGUGCUUGUUACAGCUCAUUGACUGUCUCUCGUGGUGUAUGAAACUCACACUAGGAGCCCAGCAAGGACCUGGGUGGAGCGGUGCCAUGUGUCACUCAGCGUGCAUUUCUAAGUUUCUACCGUGUCCAGGCUCUGUGUUGCUGGAGGUGUAAAUAUUGCAGGACAGAGCACUCUGGUCCCUGGGGUGUCUCCCAUCUGCAGAGGACUCAGAAAAAGGCCUGAGACUUUCCCGACAAUAUAAAAGUUAAGCCAGCAGACAUUACGAAGGAAAAGCAUGUCAGUCUCUGAAGAUAUGGCACAGAGGUCCAGGGAAGAGGUCCCCAGGAGGUGACAUUUGACCUGAGAACUUCGAGCCAGGUAGGUGAGGGACUGAAAAGAAAUACAGAGCCUCAAGUUCAUGGUGAUGUCACCAAGAGUCCCUGGGUAUUUGAAGCUAGGUCCCUGCUCCCAGCCUCCCAACUUUUAGAUUGUGUUACACCCCUUGGGGUCUCCCUUAGGGCACCAUGAAGCCCAAUUGGGAACCUGCGGAGAAUGGAACCAGCAACGGUUGGAAAAGGCACAGACAGAUCACAGCUCAACAGGAAACCAGAAGCGUCUCCAGGGACACCGCCAUGACACUUUGUCACUAAGUUUUAGAGGAAACAGAUGACGCCAUCUCCAAUCAGCACCCGGCCAGGCAGGCGAGGAAGAGCACAGACAGACUGCCGAUGUACCUGCUGGCACACUCUGCCAUUGCCCACUGUUGUCCAACUGCUGAGGAAACUCAUGGGGCAGCCAGGGGACAGCAGGCGACUUGCUAGCUCUCCCUUGAGGCUGAAGAGGGCUGGAGAAGUCAUUGUUCCCUAAAGGCUCCUAUAUCUACCAGGACUGGAUGGAUGUCCUGGGUAAGUGCACAACACGCCUAGAAGUUCCAGAGGCAGGAGCAUUUGAAGACCCGCUGCCAAAGAGUUGGGGCUCUGCAUCAUGGUGCACCCCACAGAGAUGACCAUCUUCUACUAGGACACAGCAGGGACCACAGGGGACUAAGGGCAUACCGCACAAUGAAGGGGUGGACACACGGGACCCCUGGGUACACCGUAUGCUUAGGGGAUGGCCAUGGGAGGCUAAGUGCUUGUGGCACACCGAGAGGGAGAGCCACCGGGGACUGUGGGCCUCCUGCACACUAGGGUUCAGCUGCAGGGAGCUGCUUGCUGCAGUCAGCCCACACAUGGCCAGAAAUCACUCCUCUAGUGACGGGUGAGUCAGAGGGAGGGUGAGCCAGCUGUGAGUGGCUGAGAACUCCAUGCCAUAGGCGCUGAGGCAGGACGAAAGCUUGCUUCCCUAACAAAGCUAAGUGGAGAGUACAGUGCAGGGCUGGCCUUGUGUUUAACACUGUGGGGGGAGGGCCUGCUCUGUCCUGUCUCUAGGGUACCCUCUGUGUUAGACUUCUCUGAAGUUCCACCAUGGCUGCUGGAGCUCUAGCCUCCAGGUCCACAUCCCAUCAGCCCGUGGCAGGAAGGCCACCAUCCCACCUGACUCUAGUCUGACUGCCCCAGACCCCUCCCCGCUUGUGUACCGGCUUCACACUGAGUCAUCCUAGCCAUGGCUUGCAUCCUGAGAUGUACCCUGGGAGAGGCAAAGACAUUCUCCCAGCACGGCCAGAGGAGAGGAAGGAUGUCGUGUGCACCAGCCCCCAGCCCAUGUGGAAGGAACCUGGCCAAUGUCCAUCCACAGCACACAGCAAGAGAAGAGGGUGACCAUUCCCUGAGAAUGAACCCAAGGAAGCCUGGAGAGCUGCAAAAGCAGGCGGGGAACACAGAGCGGGAGGCUUCGCGCAGCAGAGCUGAGUUCACAGCUGCAAACCCAAAGGAUGCGGAAGAGUCUGUGGGGCCAAUUACAGAGCAGCUGAGCUGGAGGCAGGAGGCGCCAGGAUCCUGGUUCCCUGGGCAGACUCCAUUAGGCCUAUCCUUCCUUCCCAUUUAAAUCUCCUCUAAGUGCACCUUCCUACAGGAGAGAGAGAGAGACUGCUGAUAGCUUGCAGUUUACAAGGGCCACAGGUGGCACCCCCAGAUCCCUGCCUCAGUUCCAAGCCAGAGAUGAUGUGUGGUGCAGUCCUUCCGGCCAUAGUGCUAUCCUGGGGCCUCUGCAGUGACCCACCAGGGGCCCCAUUCUCUCGUAGCAGUAGCCCCAAAGGGACUCCAUGGUGCAUCCAAGGGAGGGUUCUAUGGUGCAUCCCAGAGCAGCUGUGCCCCAGUCAGGGACUUGGGUCUCUCUCAGCCAUCCUCAUGGACCAGCUGUAGCUAGAAACUUCUCUGUACCAUCUGUGGGCUCUGGAAUUGACAACGCAGGGGCCCUGGGAAAUAAGGACAGCCACCCUUGUAGCUUUGGGGCUGAGGGGCUGCCAUACCGGUCCCUAGAAAGGGUGAAUUGACAGAGAUGGAGUCCAGAGUAGUGGCACACACCUUUAAUCUGAGCACUCAGCAGUCCGAUCUCUGAGUUCGAGGCCAGCCUGGUCUACAGAGUGAGUUCCAGGGUAGCCAGGGCUACACGGUGAAACCCUGGCUUAAAAACCAAAUAAUGAAUAAAGUUUCUGUGGUUAAUAUCCUAAGUGGCAUCGUGGAAAAGGAACAGAGCACGCAAGACAGAUGGGAGAGGUCGACAGGCAGACAUAAAAGUGACCGUGCCUCUACUUAAAGCUAUUCCACAGCAACACGGGAGGCCUCUGGAGGCCGCAGAGACUCCAGACAGCCAGGGAAGGAGUGGGUAGUUUGGAAACAGACUGAGAAACUCCCCAAACAGAAACAGAGAUGAGAAGGUGUUCUAAAAGCACCGGGAGUGGGGACUGGGGGGCAGUUAUGAAAGAGGAAGCCAUGGGAACCUGGGAAGAGACUGCAGUGUGUGUGUGUGUGUGUGUGUGUGUGUGUGUGUGUGUGUGUGU